UACUAAUGCCCGAAUUCUGAAACGUCACUCAAAUAUCUACUUUCGUAAGCAGUGCUUAUAAUUUAAGAGACGUCAAAACUUAAGUGGAAUUCACAAACGCAAAUCAAGACAUCUAAGCGCGUGAUUCCAAUGGAAUGCACCGGACAUUAUUGUUUAUUUUGAUAUUGUGAUUUACGAGAAAAUACAGGUAAGCAGAACACAGUAUAUGGGUUUUUUGGUGAAUUCAAUAACAGUUUUUAAUUUUCGGAAAAUUGGCACAUAGAAUUGAGACAUAAAACAACUUUUGGCGGUUUUAGAAGACGGAAAUGUUUCUGAAGAUGGUUUGGAAGAUGAAAGUGAAGAUGACGAAACCUUUUUAGCUUAUGCAAGAGAGAUAAUUCAAGAGAAAGAAGACGAGGAUGCAGAGGAUCAUGAAGAUCCUACCUAUAGCGAUCCACCACUGGUUCAAGAUUUUCCUGACUCAUUGAGUAAAAUUAUUUCUUCAUUAUCAAUGCAAGAAGGUCAUGAAUAUUUUGUAGUUUGAUUAAAGGAAACUUGUUUGGAAAAAAGACAGUUUGUAUGAUAUUGUAUGAUGAAUCAAAAAUAAUUCGCCAACCAAGUACAACAGACUCUGCUAUAACUGAACAUGAUACACCAUAUAAAUGUUUUUUUGCAUUACUUUACACCAGAGUUUCUUAAAAAUAUUGUUGAUGAAAUUAACUUAUAUGCAGUGCAAAAAAAACCCUUUAAUAUAUUUUAGUAUUACUGUUGGGGAGUUAAAAAAAUCUUUGGAAUUCUUUUAUUUAUGUCAGUGGAGCAUUUUCCUAGUGUUUGCUCAUACUGGCAUUCGAAGAUUGGGCACAAUCCUGUAAGGAGCGCAAUGCCGGUAAAAUAAUUGUUUCAGAGAUUUUUAUACACUGCAAUAAGCCUAACUAGUAGACCAUCGUUCAGCA